rnacentral:piRNA from 1 species
UAGAAAAGAUACUGUGCAUCCUAGGAGGA